AAUCAUGAGUUCCAGCCACGCGGCCCUGGCCGGCUGGACGGCAACCCUCGCCGCUGUCGCGGGGUGCCCCAGGUGACGAUUCGGCCCGCGCGCCAACGCCGUGGGCAAGGAUGGCGG
rfam:Tersicoccus sp. Bi-70 scaffold7_cov1214_read202, whole genome shotgun sequence.